CGCAAAUUUCUUUUCAAAUGACAUCAUUUUACGACACGCGCUCGCUACAAGCUUGCGAAAAAGUUGUGAUGCGAACUCCUGGCAAGUCUAGGACUAUAUUUUACCAAAAAAUUUAAACUACUCUAUUCACAAAUAUUUAUUAUAAAAUAAAAAGUUUAAAAAAUAACAUACACUGUUCACAUAAUCACAUGGUAUUCGUGAUGCCUUCUGACGUAAAAUCUGAAAACGUUUUGAAAGCUAGAGUACAACACAUCUAUCUACUCAAAAUAUUACAUUAUCAGUACCAAUACUACAGAGCACAGAUACAUGUCUAUAGUACUAAGUCUAAUACGAAUCGUUAUUGUACUAAAAUAUAAUGAAAAACUAAGUAUAUACAAGAAAUUACGUGGAAAUGCUUGGGUGUUACACCUUGAGUCGGAAUAUGGAGAAAAAUGUCUGAAGUUACACGUGAAUUUAUAUGCAAACGUGUUUAUAUACAACAGUCAACAUGUAUAUUUCAUAUAAAGUGCAUGUAUUUCAUAUUCAUUUGUUUCGAAGAUGACCAGAAGGAGAUGUUAUUUAAUCUUGGCUUUUGUAUCGGUUCAUGGGCAAUAUAACUCGAUGCAAGGUUUGGAAACUCGAUAAAGGCAUAAUAGACGUCAUUACCUAUGUUGUGUCUUGGAUUUUGCACGAAAUGUACUGUUUUUUCGUCCAACCAACAAUAGCAGUGUGCAGGGCCGCCGAGAGGGAGGGCAGGGGGAUUACCCCGGGCCCCCAGGUUCUGAGGGGCCCUAGAAUUUUUUUGUUGGGCCCCAGUCAUUUUUUUGGGUGAAAUAGUAUUUCCGCGCAAACGUGGCAAGAUCUUUGGGGUUUUUUGGGCAAAGUACCGAAAUUUGGUAUGAAAAAUUGAGGUAAAGUCGCUGGAAAUCAAUUACAAUGUACUCGUCCGAAAAAAUUGAGGUUGUUGUUGUCCGAAAAACUUGUUUCCC